UAGGGAAUAUUGGUCAAUGGUGGGAACACUGAACCAGCCAUUCCGCGUGCAGGAAGAAGGGUCUCUGACUUGUAAACUGCUUUAGCAAGGGAAGAAAAAGCUCAUGCGUGAGAAAUUGACGGUACCUUGAGAAUAAGCACCGGCUAACUACGUGCCAGCAGCCGCGGUAAUACGUAGGGUGCAAGCGUUGUCCGGAUUUAUUGGGUUUAAAGGGUGCGUAGGCGGCUCACUAAGUCAGUGUUAAAAUUUUGCGGCUCAACCGUAAGUCUGGCAUUGAUACUGGUAAGCUUGAGUAUAUGUGAGGUAGGCGGAAUUGAUAGUGUAGCGGUGAAAUGCAUAGAUAUUAUCAAGAACUCCGAUAGCGAAGGCAGCUUACUGAUGUAUAACUGACGCUGAGGCA
rnacentral:rRNA from 1 species